rnacentral:rRNA from 1 species
UACGGAGGGAGCUAGCGUUGCUCGGAAUCACUGGGCGUAAAGCGCACGUAGGCGGACUCUUAAGUCAGGGGUGAAGUCCUGGAGCUCAACUCCAGAACUGCCUUUGAUACUGAGAGCCUUGAGUCCGGGAGAGGUGAGUGGAACUGCGAGUGUAGAGGUGAAAUUCGUAGAUAUUCGCAAGAACACCAGUGGCGAAGGCGGCUCACUGGCCCGGUACUGACGCUGAGGUGCGAAAGCGUGGGGAGCAAACAGG